rnacentral:rRNA from 1 species
UUAAUUGCUGGCCUGUAUGAAUGGCUAAACGAGGGCUCCACUGUCUCAAUAAUAAACCUAGUGAAAUUGAGAUGGCGGCGAAGACGCCGCCUAUGAAUUCUAAGACGAGAAGACCCCAUUGAGCUUUACUAUUAACUUGUAUUGCCAGAGCAAAGGGGAGGGGGACCCUACGGGUCUAGGGAAUACCCCGGAUCCGUUUUGCCCCCUGUCCCUAGCUUCAUAAUAAAAUUGUGGAGACUAUGUGGCAAAAGAAAAACAAGGGAUUUAAAAGAACGGGGGGNNNNNNNNNNNNNNNNNNNNNNCCCCCGGGAUCCGAAGGGUCCGCCACGCCCCGUCCCGAUUUAUAUGAAAAACCACUCUUUUUAUUAAGAUUACUGUCUAACACCGUACAAGUAAGAUAGUUUGGUUGGGGCGACCGCCUUCGAAAAAGUAUCGAAGGCGCACAUAAGAUUAAUCAGGAGAAGGAUCCGAAGGAUCUUUUUCUCGGGGGCAAUGUCCCAAAAAAAGGAGAUUAAUUUGACUGAGAGGGCAACAACCCGAACAGACGUCAAAGGAUAGACCGGGGGGGGAAUCCUACAGAUUCCUUCCCCCCCUUCUUUUGGCGGGUCAUAGUGAUCCGUUGUUAUAUUGUGGGAUAGACAACGAUCAA